rnacentral:lncRNA from 1 species
AGAACAUCUAGGUGUAGUUAAUGUGUGAUACAGUCCCCCUAUCAUGAGUCCUGACUAGAUGACAGGUCAUGGAUAAAUCAUCAAACUUCAUCAUCAGUCAUAUGAUAGAUUCGAUCAGCUUAAAUCUAAUAGUGAUUUCAAAUAAAAACUCUUUUUCAUUAAUCAUACUACUAUAGUCAUAGAUUUGUAGACUCAGCUUCUCAAAUCUUAUAGGACUACUCUUUUCUAUCAAAAUCGAUAGAUCCCAUCU